CAUGCCCAUUCCUCUUCUGGAGUUGCAGGCGCCAGCCGUGAUCACUCUCCAGAAUGUGGAGCAGCCAGUUGAUGAUUUGUAGGACGGGAUCGACGAUGAUGCGGCUUACCAUCGAUCUGGCUACAUGCUCCUCAACCCUGUCGAGCAUCGCUGGCCGGAGAAUAGGGAACAACGGCGACCGGCAGCUGCAAUCCUUUUCGUGCUGUUGGUCGCCACUGAGCCUCCGACCUUCCACCAACUUCCCCGUACAAGCCACUUUGCAAUUGAAUCGCAUGUGGAAGUGGCAAGUGGCGCGGAAGUACCACGCGUGGCGUUCCGUUUCCUGGUCACGCGUCCUUCUGGUCUCUUCCACCACCACGACGCCGUUUCCUCCGACUUCUUUCUUCCUCUGGUUGGGGAUGCGAAGGGCGACGACGUCCACGGGGGGCGAGAACCAGCGAAAAGAGAUGGGGGAAGGCGAGGAACACAAGACAAGGGACGACCCGAAAAUUGAAAUCCAGGAAAGAGGAGAGAUCUUCUUCUUCUACAGGCCCAAGGUUGGGCGAGAAGAAGCGCACAGUGCAGGCAACGUGCAGCGGCUGUACAUUGUGCUGCGGCCAGAGUCCGGUGACCGAGCAGUUGAAAAGAAGCAGGAGUCCAAAUCUGGAAAAGUAGGGAGAAAAGCUCAGGAUGACAAGGGUGAUGAAGAUGGCAAGGGCGGCGCAGAGGGAGGUCGUGGUGAGGAGGAGGUGAACAUCGAGCGAGAAACUUUGCUAAGGUUCAUGGUGUUGGGCAGAAAGAGCCUUCCUGAUCCAGGCAAGAGAAGCACACCAUACUGGGGCUUCGUGGAAUUGGUGUCAACCAAAGUUGAUGAUAUUAAAGAAGCUCUGAGAGGAGAGAAAUAUGAGACUUCUACAAGGGGCCACCGAACUAAGCCUUCAGCUAGAGCACUCGCAAAGGGUGUGUACCGCAUUCUGAAGCAUGUAUCAGGCCGGAGGAACCAUACCCACUUGGUGUACAAGCUCGAGUGCCCGACACCCGACAAACCAAACGAGCCACAAGAAUCCCUCAACAUUGAAAACGAAGCCUCGUUUAUCAUACAGAUAAAGAACCCAACCAAGCCUGCACCACCCAAUGUUGGGAUCCAGAACAAGAGGAAGGCCACCUUUCCUGCUCAAUUGGAAGCACAGCUUGGUUCAAAGCGGUUCGGCCCGGCCGACCCGCCGGACUUCUUGAACUAUGAGGGAUGCGAGUUCUUACUGAUCGCUGCGUCAGACCACAUUGAAGAGGAGCUGGGAUUGGAGCUGAGAGGUGAGGAAAGGUGCGCGCCAUCUUCUCUUGACCUGAUCAACAUCUUUGGAGAAACUGCAUCCCCCAAACCCCUCUUCGAAGGAACGUGGGCCUAGCUAGCUUUGCUCCUGCAAUGUGUACCCUUUUGUUUCUAUCCUUGUGUAGAGCUGUCCCAUGGGGUUGGUACUGCUAAGCUUGGCCACACUAGACUAGGCUGUUUUGGAUCAAGAGUCUAGAAGGUUCUCACCUUAUGCGAAGACAGCUAAGUGGUUACGUUUUAACAGAAUUGGUUUUAUAUUCUGAUUUUUUCUGUUUUUCAUUAUAAUUCAUUAUUC